rnacentral:rRNA from 1 species
GAUGAACGCUGGCGGCGUGCUUAACACAUGCAAGUCGAACGGUGAACACGGAGCUUGCUCUGUGGGAUCAGUGGCGAACGGGUGAGUAACACGUGAGCAACCUGCCCCUGACUCUGGGAUAAGCGCUGGAACGGCGUCUAAUACUGGAUAUGUGACGUGACCGCAUGGUCUGCGUUUGGAAAGAUUUUUCGGUUGGGGAUGGGCUCGCGGCCUAUCAGCUUGUUGGUGAGGUAAUGGCUCACUAAGGCGUCGACGGGUAGCCGGCCUGAGAGGGUGACCGGCCACACUGGGACUGAGACACGGCCCAGACUCCUACGGGAGGCAGCAGUGGGGAAUAUUGCACAAUGGGCGCAAGCCUGAUGCAGCAACGCCGCGUGAGGGAUGACGGCCUUCGGGUUGUAAACCUCCUUUAGCAGGGAAGAAGCGAAAGUGACGGUACCUGCAGAAAAAGCGCCGGCUAACUACGUG